rnacentral:rRNA from 1 species
GACGAACGCUGGCGGCGUGCUUAACACAUGCAAGUCGAACGGAAAGGCCUGCUUUCCCUUGUGGAUUGCGGGUACUCGAGUGGCGAACGGGUGAGUAACACGUGAGUGAUCUGCCCCCAACUUGGGUAUAAGCCUGGGAAACUGGGUCUAAUUCCCGAUAGGACUGCAGGGUGGUGCCUGUGGUGGAAAACGAUUUUCUAGUGGUUGGGGAUGAGCUCGCGGCCUAUCAGCUUGUUGGUGGGGUAAUGGCCUACCAAGGCGGCGACGGGUAGCCGGCCUGAGAGGGUGGACGGCCACAUUGGGACGGAGAUACGGCCCAGACUACUACGGGAGGCAGCAGUGGGGAAUAUUGCACAAUGGGCGGAAGCCUGAUGCAGCGACGCCGAGUGGGGGAUGACGGCCUUCGGGUUGUAAACUCCUUUCGACCGCGAGGAAGCCACCUGGUUGGAAGGGUGGUGACGGUAGUGGUAGAAGAAGCACCGGCUAACUACGUG